rnacentral:rRNA from 1 species
UACGUAGGUGGCAAGCGUUAUCCGGAAUUAUUGGGCGUAAAGCGCGCGCAGGUAGUUUCUUAAGUCUGAUGUGAAAGCCCACGGCUCAACCGUGGAGGGUCAUUGGAAACUGGGAGACUUGAGUGCAGAAGAGGAAAGUGGAAUUCCAUGUGUAGCGGUGAAAUGCGUAGAGAUAUGGAGGAACACCAGUGGCGAAGGCGACUUUCUGGUCUGUAACUGACACUGAGGCGCGAAAGCGUGGGGAGCAAACAGG